CCCCCCACCCCUAGCAGCAGCAGAGAGAAGUCAAGUCUGUUCCCCCAGCUCUUCUGUGUCUUCCCCUUAAUGCCUGGGGAGAAAAGUACUUGCUGCAGCUCAGAAAAGGAACUCGCUCAGCGGGGGAGAGACCAGGUUCUAGGCCCAGCCUCACCUCUAAACCGGGUGUGAUGAGACCAGGAGCAAGUCACCCAAUCUCAGCGUUCCCUUAAAUCAAGGCCAACACCUUCCAUGCCACCAGCUGUUUCCAAGUAUCAAAUUAAUUACAUUAAUCCUCACAACCAACUUAUGACCUAAGUACGGUCAUUAUCUCCAUUUCAAAUAACUGAGGGCCAGAAAGGUUAAGUAACUUGUUCAAGGUCACACAGCUACUAGCGGCAAAGCUGAUACAUGAACACAGGCCGACUGGCUCUGGAGCCAGCUCUGCCCGCAAUGGCACUGCCUGUGUGUCCUGUGCACAGCAGGGAGAAGCACUC
rnacentral:lncRNA from 1 species